CCAAGGAGUCUAACAUGUGCGCGAGUCAUUGGGCUGUACGAAACCCAAAGGCGGAGUGAAAGCGAGGGUCGCCUCGGGUUGACCCAGGUGGGAUCCGUCCUCCUCGGAGGGCGGCGCACCACCGGCCCGUCCCGUCUGCGCUGUCAGUGGGGCGGAGCAAGAGCGUACACGCUGGGACCCGAAAGAUGGUGAACUAUGCCUGGUUAGAAUGAAGCCAGAGGAAACUCUGGUGGAAGUCCGUAGCGAUUCUGACGUGCAAAUCGAUCGUCAAACCUGGGUAUAGGGGCGAAAGACUAAUCGAACCAUCUA
rnacentral:rRNA from 1 species